GCUAGGCCUAUGCUUGGGCAAUUGUUAUGGGGGAUCCUCUGGCUUCCUUGGAAACAUCCCCAGGUUCCUGCCUUUGCUCAGCCAGUGCUAUGCAGUGAGGAACCACUUUCAGGGGAGGGUGUAGAGUCCUGUGGCUGCAAUCUGGAAAGGUGAGGUGAGCUGUUCAAGGUAAAUCCAGGUGGGUUUCAAGACCCUACACCAGUAUCUCCAUGUUUCCACCCUGCUGGAGAGUCCUGGUGGAUGGGGUGCUGGACCUCUACGCGCAGCUCGCAGAGACCGGCUGGUUUGGGCAGUGUGUGUGGCUGGGCUCCAAGUAAAGACUUCAAGAAUGGAUGGCGCUGCUGGUGAAAAUGAAGAGGAGUGAAGGAGGACUACACUGGAGGCACUGAGAAGGCCGAAGGAUGCUGGGGGAAGACUCCUAAUAAUGUCUACAGGGAAGCUCUUCCCCCAGUGUUUCUACAUAUUCAUGUGAAGUUGGGAUCUUCUUCCAUGAAGACCUACCUCAUCACAUAAUGUGAACACCUAUAGGGAGAGCCACAAGCAAGCAUGAGCACCUCACUGCAGCAUUAGAUUUAGGAGUGUCGGGAAGGAAGAUGUCAGGGCUGGAGGAGAAAGAGGUGUGCAUGUCUCUUGUAUCAGCACCUGUCGGUCAAAUAUUCUCCACUGAGCUGGGAGGUCUGGUUUGGUUAUCACUCUGCCUUGAAGAUGGCUUUUUGAACAGGGAAGGAAGGGUGUGAUCCUGAAACUUGGCUAUUAGGACACUCAUUGGGGAUGGGGGUCAGAUUAAUUUAUCUGUACCAAAAUAACUUCAUCAAAAGAAGCCUGACCAGCAGGUUGAGGGGAGAUGAGUCCCUUCUUCUAUUCUUCUCUUGAGACACUCUCACCCCACCUGGAGCACUGCAUCCAGGUUUGGGGCCCCCAGCACAAGAAAGAAGCAGACCUGUUACAGCAGAUCCAGAAUAGAGCCACUGAAGAUGAUCAGAGGGCUGGAGCGCCUCUCCUACAAAGACAGGCUGAGGGAAGUUGGGGUUGUUCAGCCUGGAGAUGAGAAGGUUCUGGGGAAACCUUAUAGUGGUCUUCUGAUACUUCAAGGGCUUUGUAAGAAGGAUGGGGUGGGAGUUCUUUUAAAAGGGC